UCAAAAGUCAUUCCUGUCAUACCACUGCAAGGUGCAGGUGCUUGUAAUCAUGUUUAGUUAUUAACAAACUAAAAAAAAAAACUGGAUAAAUGAAAGAUGGAUUAAAAUCCAUCAGUUCUGGUACUUGAAGAUAACUCCAAGCUUCUCCAUCGAUGUUUGUACCAUUUUGUAUCACGUGUUUAUAGCGACAGUCAUUACAAUGCUGUGUGCCCUAACAUUGCUGUAUUGUUUCGCAGUUGUGUUAACUCAAUCAUGUAUUCCUGCUCCUGCUUCGUUAAGCAUCACAUGUGAAUGCAGUCAUCUUGACGAUUCGAUUAAAUGUUCUGGAUCAAUUGGAAACAACAAAACAUUGAUAUUUGCCUACAUCACUGAUAUUCUGAAAUCUGUUCCCGCAAAAGAAAUUGUUAUUGAUGUCAACGGCAUUGACACUGUCCCUCCACGAUUUUUCAAGAACUAUUCCCUAAAUCUUGUAUCCAUUAUUACAAAUACUAUAUCAAAUUUGCCACAAGAUGUGUUCUUCGGUGUCAACACGUCGCUGAAACUACUUAGUCUACGACAGAACCACUUCGUCCGUGUUCCAUCGGCCGCUCUAAAAAAUUUACGCCAUCUAUUGGAGCUAGAUUUAUCCAAUAAUUUUAUCGCCAACGUGGAAUCUAAUGACCUUGCCGAAAUGCCAAACCUACUUGUUUUAAUUCUUAGUCAUAACGAAAUCAGCGCCAUUGAGCGUGGUGCUUUCCAAUCUUUAAGUCUGCUCCAAGAGCUCUAUCUGGAAUACAACACGAUAUCGGCUCUCCGUCAUGACAUGUUUCUGGGAUUGGCAAAGCUUGGUUUCUUGAGUUUAUCUGCUAAUAAGUUAAACAUAUUAUCGGCUAAUGUGUUCACACACCUAAAGAACAUCGAAUACGUUGAAAUGGACCACAAUUAUCUUUUUUUAAUGGAGAAUGUAAAAAUUGAGUCUUCAAGCGUUUUGAUGAUUACAAUGCAAAACAACAGUUUAGGAGGACAACUGGAUGAAGAUUCUUUUCGCGGUAUGCCAAAUUUGUUACUCCUAAACUUGGGUUAUAAUAACUUGGAAAAAUUAGCAACGAACUCAUUAACAAAGCUCUCUCAACUUCAGGAGCUAUACCUGAACAACAAUAAUAUCAGGAUGAUCUUGGACCAUGCUUUCUCAAAGUUGUGGAAUUUACGUACAUUACAGCUUGAAAAUAAUGAGAUUCGAAACCUACCCUUCACAGCUUUCUCUAAUCUUACCUCUCUACGUAACUUAAUAUUGAAGAACAAUCGAUUAGAAAGACUGACAUGUGAACAUACAGCCGAUCUACUCAAUUUAGUUAGAGUGAACCUGAACUCCAACAACUUAAAAAAUGUAUCAGCAGGAACGUUUUCAUACAGCCCUAACUUAAAAGAAAUAAGCGUCAAAGGUAAUUCGUUCAUCUGUGAUUGUUCAAUUAAAGAGUUCGCUCUUAUCUUGAAAGAGAAACUCCAAAUCGAUGGUGGCGAACAAUGUUCCGGACCCUCAUCUUUGUUAGGAAAGUACCUGACAGAAGUGGACUAUGGUUCUAUGACCUGUGCCAACAUCAGCGACAUUUGUCAGAGUCCUGCUCUCAACACUAGACAUUUAUCAGACGACGUCAGUCAGUCACCUGAAAACGCCGUCGGUACUGGUACCAAUACUUACACGAACAAUUAUCCGUUUUUUAGAGACUCUACAAAAUCCAGAACAAACGUGAACUCUACUCAUUCAUCAAGGAUUGCGACUGUUACCAGUACUCACAUUGACACCACUAGUGCCAGUUCUUUCGUGGGAACUACUGAUACCAGUACCUAUGCGUAUGAAAUUUAUCCACCAGAGGUCACUGCUACUUCGACUGUCUUAAAGGCAGUUUCUGUUAUUCCAUUUCAAGCUUUUAACAUUACAAAUUUCGCUAGAGCGCAUGACUCUUUCGACAAUAGUUUCUUUACCAGUUUACAAGAAACAAAAUACAAUUCACUUUUAAUCGCGUGGGACCUUUACCGACACGAGCCACCAGACCUAUGCAGACUUCAGCUGACAGUCUCGACGGACUCAGAGGUUAUUUUGGACAAAACUGGAAUAAAUUGUUCUGAUGGCACUUAUUUAAUGAAGGGUUUAAAAGAAGAGAAGCAUUACAAUAUUUGCAUAAUAACUAUUCAUCUGAUGUGGCCUGACCAAAUAAAUUGUACAACCUUUCACACAAAUGGCACACAGAGUGCAUUAGAGUCCACUGGAGGCAUCGUUCCGGUAUCAGUGAUUACUGGUGUCAUCGUGCUAAUUGUCCUAAUAAUAAUACUAGUCACUGUGUUGAUCAUAAUUUUUCGGAAAAAAAUAAUUUCGAAAGAAAAUGAAACUUCUUCAAUAAAGAUCAGAAGACGUUCUGGAUCCUACAGUGUUAAUGAAACAUCUAAAAUUUAAUAUCAGAAGAAGACCAAACGCAGCUCUUUGUUAAAUAAAAGACUAAAUCUAAAUAGCUGUCUUAUGUUGGACCACCGUAGUUUUUUUUUUCACAGUUGAUAAGUAUUCUUUUAUUAUUGUUUAUGUGAAAACUGUUAAACUUAAGUGAUUAUGCCACCGACAGUUUAUGUUCUUAUCCCAUCAGUUUUUAUUGACCAAAUGACGUUUUUGCACAACUGAUAUUUUUAAAAGUAUUGAAAAGUAAGUCGUCGUUAUUAGCUGGUUUCUCUGGGAGCUAUUGGUCGACUUCGGUUAACAGGUUUAACUUUGUUUAUAAGAUUUAAUUUAUUUGUUUAUUUUAAAUUGUCAGAAUAUUUUGUUUGUUUGUUCACGUAGCCAAAAAUUAAAUAAAUGAAAAAUAGUACAGAUGCCCAAUAACCUUUCUGGACAUGAUAUGAGUUUGGGAAGUUUUGGAUAUACAUCAUUAUCAAUGUACUAAUUUUCUUUAUCAAGAUGGUCUAGUACGUCAUUAGAAAAUAAAUAUAUAUAUAUAUAAGUUCUGAACAACACCUAGUUACAUUUGCAUAACUUACUUUGUUUGGUUAUCUUUCAAACUGAAGCGGUUUCAAUUAAAAGUUCAUAUAAACAAUCAAUGUGACGUGCAUGUAUCGGACUGAACUAUUUUAAUGUAUCAGAAUAAAACUUGUAUUUUUGACUAAAUUUCCCUUAUUCUCUGAUAUAGUCACUUUUAUUUUUAUCACAGAAAACCUGGUCUUAUACAUAUAUUAAACGAGAAUUUAAUUGGAAACACUUAAUGAAGUUUAUGGUAUUUCCUUCCAGAUAGUCCUAGACAUGUGUCGAGCUGUACGAUGCAGAUGUAUACUAGGUGUCAGGCUAGAUGUUUCGAAAUGAUUUUUUUUUAUAUUUAAAAUCUCUGUAAAUCUACAAAACCAAGACAUUAAUCAGAACUUGGCAUUCAAAUUCAAGAUCUUCAAACAACUAAUAUUUUUGUGUAUAAUCAACUAAAUGCUUCUACUUUUACCCUUUAGUGUUAGGCUCACUUGGGACCUCAUUUAGAGUCUCUGAGUUUUUUUUUAAAUAGCUAAAAGUUGUCUGUAACUUUAAUAUAAAAUAUCGGACGUGGGACUUUUUCUCUAAUUUUAAUUGUAUAAAAAUGUAUAAUAUAUCAAGUCUGCAGAUGUCUACAUUACUCACUUAUGGAAUGAUUAGUGAAUCACGUGAAGGUCAAGAUUCCUUGAUCUGUUAUUGAAACUGAAUAAUUGAAAGCUCAAUAAUUUGAGGCAUAGUUUAAACAGGUUCAUUAAGUUGAUCAGGAAAUUAACAGUAAAAUGAAUAGCUCUUCUUUAUAUUUUUGUUAUAUUGAGAUGUCAUAUAAAAUGUAUUCUGGUUUUUGUAACUUUCUAUUUGUUAAUUUUUAUGGCUUUCUUGUGGUGUCCUUGUCGUGGUAAAACAUGGGAACAGUUGCAAUCCUUUUUUUGUCAAUAGGAAGUAAACUCCGUGUAUUCUCUUGACCAAUGAGAAGCUUGCAUCACCUUCAAACAAGUUUGGGUAUUUAGGGGAAGGACACAGUUGCCUCAGGUAACAUAGUUCAUGGAAAUGCCAUCAGAAGAAGAACCAAAGUUGUCUGUUAGUGCAGAACUACCACAAGCUGACCCGCUGAAGUCUGAAGGUUCCAAAAGCUGUGAAACAAUGACAGAAAGUGUUUGUAAUAAUGAUAAAAGUGGUCUUGACACUGAACAAUCAACAGAAAAUCAUAAAUUGAACUUAGAAAGCCCAUUAAAUUCUGAUGAUAUUAAUUUUGGGCCAGAGAUAGAAAAAAA